UACGUAGGGGGCGAGCGUUGUCCGGAAUCAUUGGGCGUAAAGAGCUCGUAGGCGGCUUGGUAAGUCGGGUGUGAAAACCUCAGGCUCAACCUGAGGCGUGCAUCUGAUACUGCCAUGGCUAGAGUCCGGUAGGGGAGUGUGGAAUUCCCGGUGUAGCGGUGAAAUGCGCAGAUAUCGGGAGGAACACCAGUGGCGAAGGCGGCACUCUGGGCCGGAACUGACGCUGAGACGCGAAAGCGUGGGGAGCAAACAGG
rnacentral:rRNA from 1 species